CCUGGUCCCUUUAUAUUACUUAACGGUCUUAGGUCUUGUUGCCAUUAGGCUAAAUUGAACAAAUCCUUGGAAACUUACUUUGUUAACUGGGAGGAAAGGGGCAAAUGUCAUUCAUUAAACAUUAAUUGUUUUUGCUUUUCAUAUCCCACUUUGCAGAAUCUCUAAGGGGAAUAUACUGAACACUAAAUAUGUUUUAAUUAAAACAGAGAGAGAAAGCCAUAAUGUCAAGCUGAAAGAGAAGAGUUUUACUUAGUUCUUCAGAGUAAUGGAGCUUUAAGAUCAUUUGCAUUAGGAGGACCAUUCUAACCCUGAUAUUCUUAGGGCUUUCAGCUGAUCAGCAGUCAGUGUGUGUGAACUACUUGCACCAUAUUUAACGCCAGCUUGCUUGAAACAAGGACCUUAGCAUUAAAAACAAAAAUACAGCAAUGUCUACCAAACUUCAGAAGUUACCCUCUUUGCAGACAAAAGUGUCUUCCUUUUUUUCCCUCAGCCGAUGAAAUACCUGGGGCUUCCCAGACUGCUGGAGUGGCUUUAGCUCAUCACAGAUGGUAGAAAACACAGUGUUUGGUAGGAAAUGAAUGAUAGAAAAUAAAUCUCUGCUUGUUCUUAAUAAUUGUUCAUUCUUCAGAGGCCUUAAUUUGGCAGUUCCCCAAGUCAUUGGCUAUUCCUUGAGAAUGCUCCCCUGCUGUGCUGUGGGAUGGGGUGGGGUGGGAUAUGAUGAGAUGGGUUGGAGUGGAUUUUCUCAUCCAGGGGCUCUGGAUGCUGUUUGUCCUUCAGUUCCCUCAGAUGACAGCUGCUUUCUACUGCUUACUGCUGUGAGGGGUCAACUUGUGAUGUCCAGCUACAUGUCCCGAGGUGCAGUUCUUACAGUCAGAACCCAGACAGACAAAGCUGGAUACCUGUAUGAUUCACACACAUCUGUAGGAUGUUGCUGCCCUCCAUUUGUACAACGGCCCACAUGGCAGCUGCCUUCGUACAGUUGGUCCCUUCAACCACAGUCACCAAGAACCUGGUCCUGCAUCUGGGGAGAGUGA
rnacentral:lncRNA from 1 species